rnacentral:rRNA from 1 species
GAUGAACGCUGGCGGCGUGCUUAACACAUGCAAGUCGAACGGAAAGGCCCUGCUUUUGUGGCUCGCUUGUGUGGCGAACGGGUGAGUAAAACGCGUGUAUCAUGCCCCUGUCUUUGGGAUAAAUUCACGAAACUCGGGCUCUUAUAGCAUAGGAGCUCUUGCUCCAUGGUGGGGGUAGGUAAGAUACGGCGGUUGGGGAUGGACUCGCGGCAUAUCAGCUUGAUGGUCGGGUAGUGACGUACAAAGUGUGUGACGGCUAGCCGGCCUGAGAGCGGGAACGGCCACAUGGGGACUGAGGUAGGCAGCAGACGCCUACGUGAGGCAGCAGUGGAGAAUAUGACGCAGUGGGGGGAAGCCUGAGGCGGCGACGUCGCGUGCGUGAUGACGUCCUUCGGGUUGUAAACCGCUUUCUCAUGUGAUGAAGCGUGAGUGACGGUAAUUAGUAAGAAAGCACCGGCUAACUACGUG